rnacentral:rRNA from 1 species
GGCGGCAUGCCUUACACAUGCAAGUCGAACGCGAAAGGGGGGGCAACUCCCCGAGUAGAGUGGCGAACGGGUGAGUAAUACAUCGGAACGUGUCCAGUAGCGGGGGAUAACCUCUCGAAAGAGAGGCUAAUACCGCAUACGACCUACGGGUGAAAGAGGGGGAUCGCAAGACCUCUCACUAUUGGAGCGGCCGAUGUCGGAUUAGCUAGUUGGCGGGGUAAAAGCCCACCAAGGCGACGAUCCGUAGCUGGUCUGAGAGGACGGCCAGCCACACUGGAACUGAGACACGGUCCAGACUCCUACGGGAGGCAGCAGUGGGGAAUUUUGGACAAUGGGCGCAAGCCUGAUCCAGCCAUGCCGCGUGAGUGAAGAAGGCCUUCGGGUUGUAAAGCUCUUUCGGCGGGGACGAAAAGGUCCGUGUUAACACCAUGGAUCCAUGACGGUACCCGCAGAAGAAGCACCGGCUAACUACGUGCCAGCAGCCGCGGUAAUACGUAGG